GCGGGUAUGGUGGAAUUGGCAGACACGCCAGAUUUAGGUUCUGGUGCCAACAGCAUGCAGGUUCAAAUCCUGUUACCCGCACCA
rnacentral:tRNA from 1 species